rnacentral:tRNA from 1 species
GCCUUGGUACUCCACUUAGUUGGUAGUGCGUCUGCCUUAUAAGCGCUAGGCCGCGGGUUCGAUUCCCGCCCGGGGCG